rnacentral:rRNA from 1 species
UUUGAACAAAUCACCCUCAAUGCGCCCAAUCUCAUCAGACCUCGGUAGCUAAGCAUGGUUGAGCGUGGUUAGAGCUUGGAUGGGCGACCAGACUACUACUACCUUGCAUAAAAC